UGAAAAAAAUGGACUUAGUGGGUCUUUGAAUUUAAAUAAAAUAAACAUGUAUAUGCAACACAAAAUAUUUAUAUUCCUUGUGUAAACAUAAUUUAAUUGAUUAGGAUUAAAAUGUUUUGUUUGAAUGUAAAAUGAACACAUUAUUCUCACAUUGAUUAAAAUUGAUUGAAUUGAAUACUUAAAGCAAUAAAAUUGGGUUUGCACACAAAACGGCACCUCCUGAGCAGCAGGGGCAGUAUAGCUCGAUGAGAAGGACGUCGAUUGCCAUAAAAGAAGAAUAAAGAUCGUUUGUUUUGGGCGCCAAAAUGAAGACUCAGCAGCAGCAGUCAGUCAGAAGAACUCUCUCAGACGGACACCACGUUAUUAAAGUCCAUCAUCCUUGCAUGCGCUACACACUCAAAAGCAUUGAUAAAUGCUGAAUUUAAAAGAAUCACUACUGUCUUAUGUUCCUGCGUGUCACCUGGACCUCCAAUCCAAAAACCUGAUGAAACUCUUCUAUCAGAAAGGAGGACAGCUAGCAAAAAGACUUCAAACAAUUAAUGAUCAAAUGACAGAAGGCGUGGAUGAAGUCAGCAUCAGUGAGGUCAUUUGAAGACACCAAUGUUGGGAUUUGUGCUCUCAAACAACAUGCUUCUUGUGAUGAAGAAGAGGAUCUUUGUAUAGUCCUGGAAGCCAUGAAGGUGUUGCAACAUCGUGUUUGAGCUGAUGUAUGCCUUAAACCUGAUCUCCGCUUUAUUUUUGAGGAAAUCCAAACUGCAUUGAGAGUAACUUUAACGAACAGUUUCUUUCAGUGAAAGGAUCAGAAAGACUGUGCUGCUCAUUUUUUAUUUUUUUAUCUGUUUUAAGUGUUUUCUCUUAUUAAUACAUUAACAGUUUGCUGCUCAGAGUCGAUUUUGGAAAUUUUUGUUUUUGUUGAAUCUUUGAUUAACAGUUUAUAAAUGCUGUAGCUCUGACUUUCUGAAGGAGUGAUAUUUUCCAGUUUGUAAAUCCAUUUUAUAAAUAAUAGUACUUACUGUUUUGCAUGUCUCUUUGGAAUGCAGUGUUUGUGUUUUAGCACUUCUAAAUCUACUGUGAUGGUAACUAUUUUAAACAUUUGGGUCAGUUUCACAGAUGGGGCUUUUCCUAGUCCCAGACUUUUGCAAUGCCAUAUAUCAGUGCCAUUGUUUUGUCUAAAGAUGUACUCCAGUGUUGUUUUUGUAAGGUAGGUUUGUUUGUAAACUUUAUUUUUGUAAAAAUAUCCUAAUAUAACUAGGGCCUAGUCAUGGAUUAAUCUACAACCUGUUUGGGAAAUUGCCCCUUUAUGUAUGUACUGCAUGUGCUGAUUGUUGUAAUAGUUAUUGACUGUUAUUGAAUUAAUGUGUAGUGAUUUAAAUGAAUUGAUGAUCUGAAAGCAGUGGUUUGCCUCAAUAUCACUAAACAUUUGUUCAAAACUCUUUGCUUUUUAUGCCAAUGCAAAUGUAUUUUGUAUUUAAAAAUAAAUAAAUAACAUUUGGAUAAUUAUGGGUGAUUAUUCUGGUGCCAGAGACAUAAUGAAAUUGCUUUAGAGUUACAUAAUCCCAUAAUAUAAGCAUUAAAAAAGCAUGUUGGAAUUACAGAUGAAAAUCUAGUCCCCUUACAUAAUAAAAUUACUUAAACAUUACAAAAUAAAUGUGUUAUAGUAAAGAGAAAUAGCACUUUGAGUCAACAUAUUUCUAUUAGACUACUUAAAAUAAUUAAAAUGUUUUGGUCUGACACAUAAAAAUUAAUUUGAGAAAAUUAUUUUGGUUUUAAACAAUCGGAUCAUGUGGGACCGAUGUACACAUUAAAAUUACGUAAAUUGAAAGGAUUUUUUUUUUC